rnacentral:rRNA from 1 species
ACCCGCUGAACUUAAGCAUAUCAAUAAGCGGAGGAAAAGAAACUAACAAGGAUUCCCCUAGUAACGGCGAGCGAAGAGGGAAGAGCCCAAGAUUGAAAGCUGGCGUCUUCGGCGUCCGCAUUGUAAUCUCAAGAAGUGUUUUCCGCUUCGGACCAAGCCUAAGUCCCUUGGAAAAGGGCAUCAUAGAGGGUGAUAAUCCCGUACAUGGCUUGGAGCGCCCGAAGCUUUGUGAUACGCUUUCUAAGAGUCGAGUUGUUUGGGAAUGCAGCUCAAAAUGGGUGGUAAAUGCCAUCUAAGGCUAAAUAUUGGGGAGAGACCGAUAGCGAACAAGUACAGUGAUGGAAAGAUGAAAAGAACUUUGAAAAGAGAGUUAAACAGUACGUGAAAUUGCCAAAAGGGAAGGGUAGGAGGUCAGAGAUGCGGCCUGGGAUUCAGCCUUGCUUUUGCUUGGUGUUUUUCCCAGAUUGCAGGCCAACGUCGGUUUUGGGCACUGGAGAAGGGUAGGAGGAACGUGGCACCUCUCGGGGUGUGUUAUAGCCUCCUUACUGGAUACAGCGACCGAGACCGAGGACAGCAGCGUACUCGCAAGAGCGGGCCUUCGGGCACCUUUACGCUUAGGGCGUUGGCAUAAUGGCCCUCUACCACCCGUCUUGAAACACGGACCAAGGAG